rnacentral:misc_RNA from 1 species
GUCUAUGAGGUAGGGCUCUGAGCAAUCACUGCAACACACAAACUCAUCGCCGAAGUCCAACUUAUUCUUGCAUAUUGUGCACCUAUUUGUUACCUUAGGCAUUUCUGGUUUGCAGCAGUGAUAAUGAGUAUGGAAAGGUAGGCAUGGUGGAUAACUUGACUCGCCACAAAGGCCAUUACAGUCACCCGACUGUUUGGUGAUGAGAUGACCUUCACCACAUCCUCCAAACCAUUUGUUUUCACACGUCUCAGUCCAAUAACACCCUUUGGAUGGGAGAUCAG